rnacentral:rRNA from 1 species
UUAAGCGACUAAGCGUACACGGUGGAUGCCCUGGCAGUCAGAGGCGAUGAAGGACGUGCUAAUCUGCGAUAAGCGUCGGUAAGGUGAUAUGAACCGUUAUAACCGGCGAUUUCCGAAUGGGGAAACCCAGUGUGUUUCGACACACUAUCAUUAACUGAAUCCAUAGGUUAAUGAGGCGAACCGGGGGAACUGAAACAUCUAAGUACCCCGAGGAAAAGAAAUCAACCGAGAUUCCCCCAGUAGCGGCGAGCGAACGGGGAGCAGCCCAGAGCCUGAAUCAGUGUGUGUGUUAGUGGAAGCGUCUGGAAAGGCGCGCGAUACAGGGUGACAGCCCCGUACACAAAAAUGCACAUGCUGUGAGCUCGAUGAGUAGGGCGGGACACGUGGUAUCCUGUCUGAAUAUGGGGGGACCAUCCUCCAAGGCUAAAUACUCCUGACUGACCGAUAGUGAACCAGUACCGUGAGGGAAAGGCGAAAAGAACCCCGGCGAGGGGAGUGAAAAAGAACCUGAAACCGUGUACGUACAAGCAGUGGGAGCACGCUUAGGCGUGUGACUGCGUACCUUUUGUAUAAUGGGUCAGCGACUUAUAUUCUGUAGCAAGGUUAACCGAAUAGGGGAGCCGAAGGGAAACCGAGUCUUAACUGGGCGUUAAGUUGCAGGGUAUAGACCCGAAACCCGGUGAUCUAGCCAUGGGCAGGUUGAAGGUUGGGUAACACUAACUGGAGGACCGAACCGACUAAUGUUGAAAAAUUAGCGGAUGACUUGUGGCUGGGGGUGAAAGGCCAAUCAAACCGGGAGAUAGCUGGUUCUCCCCGAAAGCUAUUUAGGUAGCGCCUCGUGAAUUCAUCUCCGGGGGUAGAGCACUGUUUCGGCAAGGGGGUCAUCCCGACUUACCAACCCGAUGCAAACUGCGAAUACCGGAGAAUGUUAUCACGGGAGACACACGGCGGGUGCUAACGUCCGUCGUGAAGAGGGAAACAACCCAGACCGCCAGCUAAGGUCCCAAAGUCAUGGUUAAGUGGGAAACGAUGUGGGAAGGCCCAGACAGCCAGGAUGUUGGCUUAGAAGCAGCCAUCAUUUAAAGAAAGCGUAAUAGCUCACUGGUCGAGUCGGCCUGCGCGGAAGAUGUAACGGGGCUAAACCAUGCACCGAAGCUGCGGCAGCGACACUAUGUGUUGUUGGGUAGGGGAGCGUUCUGUAAGCCUGUGAAGGUGUGCUGUGAGGCAUGCUGGAGGUAUCAGAAGUGCGAAUGCUGACAUAAGUAACGAUAAAGCGGGUGAAAAGCCCGCUCGCCGGAAGACCAAGGGUUCCUGUCCAACGUUAAUCGGGGCAGGGUGAGUCGACCCCUAAGGCGAGGCCGAAAGGCGUAGUCGAUGGGAAACAGGUUAAUAUUCCUGUACUUGGUGUUACUGCGAAGGGGGGACGGAGAAGGCUAUGUUGGCCGGGCGACGGUUGUCCCGGUUUAAGCGUGUAGGCUGGUUUUCCAGGCAAAUCCGGAAAAUCAAGGCUGAGGCGUGAUGACGAGGCACUACGGUGCUGAAGCAACAAAUGCCCUGCUUCCAGGAAAAGCCUCUAAGCAUCAGGUAACAUCAAAUCGUACCCCAAACCGACACAGGUGGUCAGGUAGAGAAUACCAAGGCGCUUGAGAGAACUCGGGUGAAGGAACUAGGCAAAAUGGUGCCGUAACUUCGGGAGAAGGCACGCUGAUAUGUAGGUGAGGUCCCUCGCGGAUGGAGCUGAAAUCAGUCGAAGAUACCAGCUGGCUGCAACUGUUUAUUAAAAACACAGCACUGUGCAAACACGAAAGUGGACGUAUACGGUGUGACGCCUGCCCGGUGCCGGAAGGUUAAUUGAUGGGGUCAGCGCAAGCGAAGCUCUUGAUCGAAGCCCCGGUAAACGGCGGCCGUAACUAUAACGGUCCUAAGGUAGCGAAAUUCCUUGUCGGGUAAGUUCCGACCUGCACGAAUGGCGUAAUGAUGGCCAGGCUGUCUCCACCCGAGACUCAGUGAAAUUGAACUCGCUGUGAAGAUGCAGUGUACCCGCGGCAAGACGGAAAGACCCCGUGAACCUUUACUAUAGCUUGACACUGAACAUUGAGCCUUGAUGUGUAGGAUAGGUGGGAGGCUUUGAAGUGUGGACGCCAGUCUGCAUGGAGCCGACCUUGAAAUACCACCCUUUAAUGUUUGAUGUUCUAACGUUGACCCGUAAUCCGGGUUGCGGACAGUGUCUGGUGGGUAGUUUGACUGGGGCGGUCUCCUCCUAAAGAGUAACGGAGGAGCACGAAGGUUGGCUAAUCCUGGUCGGACAUCAGGAGGUUAGUGCAAUGGCAUAAGCCAGCUUGACUGCGAGCGUGACGGCGCGAGCAGGUGCGAAAGCAGGUCAUAGUGAUCCGGUGGUUCUGAAUGGAAGGGCCAUCGCUCAACGGAUAAAAGGUACUCCGGGGAUAACAGGCUGAUACCGCCCAAGAGUUCAUAUCGACGGCGGUGUUUGGCACCUCGAUGUCGGCUCAUCACAUCCUGGGGCUGAAGUAGGUCCCAAGGGUAUGGCUGUUCGCCAUUUAAAGUGGUACGCGAGCUGGGUUUAGAACGUCGUGAGACAGUUCGGUCCCUAUCUGCCGUGGGCGCUGGAGAACUGAGGGGGGCUGCUCCUAGUACGAGAGGACCGGAGUGGACGCAUCACUGGUGUUCGGGUUGUCAUGCCAAUGGCACUGCCCGGUAGCUAAAUGCGGAAGAGAUAAGUGCUGAAAGCAUCUAAGCACGAAACUUGCCCCGAGAUGAGUUCUCCCUGACUCCUUGAGAGUCCUGAAGGAACGUUGAAGACGACGACGUUGAUAGGCCGGGUGUGUAAGCGCAGCGAUGCGUUGAGCUAACCGGUACUAAUGAACCGUGAGGCUUAACCU